rnacentral:rRNA from 1 species
AUUGAACGCUGGCGGCAGGCCUAACACAUGCAAGUCGAGCGGGGUUUUCGGACCUAGCGGCGGACGGGUGAGUAAUGCGUAGGAAGCUGCCCGAUAGAGGGGGAUACCAGUUGGAAACGACUGUUAAUACCGCAUAAUGUCUACGGACCAAAGAGUGGGACCUUCGGGCCACAUGCUAUCGGAUGCGCCUACGUGGGAUU